rnacentral:rRNA from 1 species
UACGGGGGGAGCAAGCGUUGUUCGGAUUUACUGGGCGUAAAGGGCGCGUAGGCGGUCAGCACAAGUCAGUUGUGAAAUCUCCGGGCUUAACUCGGAAAGGUCAACUGAUACUGUGCGACUAGAGUGCGGAAGGGGCAACUGGAAUUCUCGGUGUAGCGGUGAAAUGCGUAGAUAUCGAGAGGAACACCGGUGGCGAAGGCGGGUCUCUGGGCAGUAACUGACGCUGAGAAGCGAAAGCGUGGGGAGCGAACAGG